GACGAACGCUGGCGGCGUGCUUAACACAUGCAAGUCGAACGGAAAGGCCCUGCUUUUGUGGGGUUCUCGAGUGGCGAAGGGGUGAGUAACACGUGAGUAACCUGCCCUUGACUUUGGGAUAACUUCAGGAAACUGGGGCUAAUACCGGAUAGGAGCUCCUGCUGCAUGGUGGGGGUGGGAAGUUUGGGCGGUUGGGGAUGGAUUGGCGGCUUAUCAGCUUGUUUGGGUGGGAGUGGCUUGCCCAGGCUUUGAGGGGUCGCCGGGCUGGGAGGGUGACCGGCCACAUUGGGCCUGCGAUACGGCCCAGUCUCCUACGGGAGGCAGCAGUGGGGAAUAUUGCACAAUGGGCGGACGUCUGAUGAAGAAACGCCGCGUGCGGGAAGACGGCUUUCGGGUUGUAAACCGCUUUCGCCUGUGACGACGCGUGAGUGACGGUAACGGGUAAAGAAGCACCGGCUAACUACGUG
rnacentral:rRNA from 1 species